CUAUACUAUUCAGAGUUUGAUCCUGGCUCAGAACGAACGCUGGCGGCAGGCCUAACACAUGCAAGUCGAGCGAAGACUUCGGUCUUAGCGGCGGACGGGUGAGUAACGCGUGGGAAUAUGCCUCUUGGUACGGAAUAGCCUCGGGAAACUGGGAGUAAUACCGUAUGUGCCCUUAGGGGGAAAGAUUUAUCGCCAAGAGAUUAGCCCGCGUUGGAUUAGGUAGUUGGUGGGGUAAUGGCCUACCAAGCCGACGAUCCAUAGCUGGUUUGAGAGGAUGAUCAGCCACACUGGGACUGAGACACGGCCCAG
rnacentral:rRNA from 1 species